GAAUUGUCCAUGUUGGACGCAGACUCGACCAAUGGGAGCGGAGAUCGUCUACGUUGAACGUGGACUGUUGCACUACUCUGGCCCCAUCCUCUGCGAACUCCCCAAAUGUGGGAAUCUCGACUGCAUAAUUUCUGGUAGUGGGGGACUGCGUCCGCGCUCUCCCCUG